rnacentral:lncRNA from 1 species
CUACUGUAAUGAAUUGCCACAACUUGGAGGCUUAGAACAACACAAAUUAGUACUCUCACAGUCCUGAAGGCUACAGCUCUGCAAUCAAGGUAUGAGCAAGGCCAUCAUUCCCCUAAGGCUCUAAGGAAGAAUCCAUUUUUGCCUCUUCCUGCUUCUGGGAUGCAUCCACUUUAUUAGACGGCAAACUAGAAAAUGCUUCCUACAGUCGCCACAUAAAAAGAAUUAUCAUCAUGCCAAACAAAUUAUCCUCGGCGCCAAUGAUGUGAGAAGUGAGCAGAAAGAGCAAUGCAACAGGUUUUCUUUUCUGGCCAUGCCAAGGUGGAAGGUGAUCUUAAUUGAAGAAAGAAUGCUCAAAGUAGGUAUGUGCAGUUUCAGAAGUACAGCUAUAUAACAUCCGCUAUGCCUUGUCCAGUAACACUCUCCUUAAUCCAGGCUCUCACAUGGAUUGUCCUUCCUAUAUUAUAAUCCUCCACAUGUCUUUCCUUUACAGAGUUAAUCCCAAAUUAAGUAUUUCAAAUAUCUAAUACAGUUGUGUUAGAAAAAGAAAUUCUCAAGUUCUGAGAUUAUGGAAUAUCCUGAAAGAACGCUAAAGCAACUAUACCCCUUAAAGAAAGAUCAUUAUCAACUUGUAGAAAACUAAUCCUAUAGUGUGGUGAGAAUUUUUGGCAGUCAUAUUGCACCACUCUCAUACUUUUAACAAUGCAUUUAUGAGAACCACCUACAAUAAAAAAAUGGCAAUAAGAUUAGCAACUAGUGUUAUUUGUUAUAUUUUCC